UAUUGUAAUUGAUAUCAAAGGGCUUAUGUUCUAACCUAUCAAAUAUAAUCUUAUCUUUUAGUUUCUACAUUUAAUUUCUACUUGAGCAAUUGGUAUUAGAGCUAUUCAAUAAAAGUUCAAUUGAUCACAAAGUUUUUCUCUUGGGGGAGAAGGGAUUGAGAUAAUUUAUACUCCAUUCUUAUAAAUCCAGCCAUCGUCUUGGAUUUUGAUAGUUUGUUCGUGCAUGCACCCUUGGUUUUGUAUCGUUCAGAUCUGCCCUCAUGACUACCAUAUUAGUCUCAUCUGCUUGUCAUCGUUCAAUUGGCCAUUGUUCAUUCAUCGUCAAUGCAGAAUUUCUGAAAGGAAAGCUUAGCAAGGAAGAAGAAGAAGUUUUCUGGGUUCUGAGGUUGAAGAAGAAGGGGAAAAACUCAAUCGAAGUUGCAUCCAUGACAGAUUUUGACACACACUGCAUACUUCCAGUUUUCAAUUCGGUUUAAUCUACUCAAUAAGAACUAAGAGGCUAAGAAGAAUUAAAUCGAGCUUACAAACCAAGGAUCUAGCUCAACAAUGUGAGUGACAAAACUAGUUUUGAAAACAUUUUUCAUAACUGUUAUUUAUGAUUAAAUGCUUUACACAUUUAUUUACGAAGCUAUGAAAUUAUUUGAAUUCCAUGACUAUUUUCAAGUAUAAGUUUCGAGACUAGAUUUCUUAAUGAAAAUUUAUGCUAGCACGUGAAUAUUGAAUCUCUGGAAAGUAUUUGAACCACAAAGUUCUAAGCAAAGCAUGAAUUAGCAAGUUUUGUUUUAAGAACUAUAGUUUUUCACGAACGAACUCAGUAAAUUUUGAGCUUUAUGCAAGAUAAAGAUAAGCAAGCAUGUUUAAUAUUUUAGAUGAUUUAUGGAAAUUUUCAUUGACUACAUGACUGAGAUCUUGAGCCUGAGACUAGAGGAUACCGUGUGUACACAAGUUAUUUUUCGUUGUUGAUGUUAAGUAUACUUCAUGACAACAAUGCUGUCGUGAGUGCUGGACGAGCCCCCACUACGAUAAAGAUGAUGGAAGUGAUGGACGGGUCCCACUACAUCGUAGAGUUAAUAAACGUUGAUUAUACUAGGCGUACCCUAUACAAGGUAGUGAUGUCAUGUUAGUUAUAAAUGUGUUGCUAGAUUUUAUAAAUGUAUAUAUUUAACAUUUUAAGAAGUUGUUCUCAUAAAAUAUUUAUGGUUAAUACUUUGCUUAUAUUUUUAAA